UACGAAGGGGGCGAGCGUUGUUCGGAAUUACUGGGCGUAAAGGGCUCGCAGGCGGCCCUUUAAGUCAGGCGUGAAAGCCCCGGGCUCAACCUGGGAGGUGCGCUUGAUACUCGAGGGCUUGAGUGCGGGAGAGGAGAGUGGAAUUCCCAGUGUAGAGGUGAAAUUCGUAGAUAUUGGGAAGAACACCGGUGGCGAAGGCGGCUCUCUGGACCGUAACUGACGCUGAGGCGCGAAAGCGUGGGGAGCAAACAGG
rnacentral:rRNA from 1 species